rfam:Felis catus isolate Cinnamon breed Abyssinian chromosome E1, whole genome shotgun sequence.
GCCUGGGUGGCUCAGUCGGUUGAGCAUCUGACUUCGGCUCAGGUCAUGAUCUCGUGGUCCGUGAGUUCGAGCCCCGCGUCGGGCU